GCCUUCGGGGUUUAAUGGUCAGCACUCUCGAUGCUUAACCGAGAGGUCAGUGGUUCAAUUCCCGGCGAAGGCG
rfam:Stegodyphus mimosarum contig6745, whole genome shotgun sequence.